rnacentral:rRNA from 1 species
GACGAACGCUGGCGGCGUGCCUAACACAUGCAAGUGGAGCGACGAACCAGGGCUUGCCCUGGGGCCAAGCCGCGAACGGGUGAGUAACACGUGGGUAACCUGCCCCGAUGACCGGGACAACCCGAGGAAACUCGGGCUAAUACCGGAUGUGGUGGACACACUUAAGUGUGUCCACUAAAGGAAGCUUCGGCCUCCGCAUUGGGAUGGGCCCGCGGCCCAUUAGCUAGUUGGUGGGGUAAAGGCCUACCAAGGCAACGAUGGGUAGCUGGUCUGAGAGGACGAUCAGCCACACUGGGACUGAGACACGGCCCAGACUCCUACGGGAGGCAGCAGUGGGGAAUCUUGCGCAAUGCGCGAAAGCGUGACGCAGCAACGCCGCGUGAGGGAAGACGGCC